GGCCCCACAGAUCUCAGCAGGCCGCACAGAUCUCAGUAGGCCCCACAGAUCACAGCAGGCCCCAUGGAUCACAGCAGCCCCACAGAUCACUGUAGGCUCCAUGGAUCACUGCAGGCCCCACAGAUCACAGCAGGCCCCACAGAUCACUGCAGCCCCAUAGAUCGCAGCAGGCCCCAUAGAUCUCAGCAGGCCCCACAGAUCACAGCAGGCCCCACAGAUCACGGCAGGCCCCACAGAUCUCAGCAGGCCCCAUAGGUCAUAGCAGGCCCCACGGAUCUCAGCAGCCCCACAGAUCUCAGCAGGCCCCGCAGAUCACAGCAGCCCCAUAGAUCUCAGCAGGCCCCACAGAUCACUGCAGGCCGCACAGACCUCAGCAGGCCCCAUGGCUCACUGCAGCCCCAUAGAUCUCAGUAAGCCCCACAGAUCUCAGCAGACCCAUAGAUCUCAGCAGGCCCCACAGAUCACUGUAGACCCCAUGGAUCACUGCAGGCCCCACAGAUCACUGCAGGCCCCACAGAUCUCAGCAGCCCCAUGGAUCUCAGCAGCCCCACAGAUCACUGCAGGCCGCACAGACCUCAGCAGCCCCACAGAUCACUGCAGGCCCCACAGAUCACUGUAGACCCCAUGGAUCACUGCAGGCCCCACAGAUCGCAGCAGCCCCAUAGAUCUCAGCAGCCCCAUAGUUCACUGCAGGCCCCACAGAUCUCAGUAGGCCCCAUGGCUCACUGCAGCCCCACAGAUCUCAGCAGACCCACAGAUCUCAGCAGGCCCCAUAGAUUGCUGCAGGCCCCACAGAUCACUGUAGACCCCAUGGAUCACUGCAGGCCCCACAGAUCACAGCAGGCUCCAUGGAUCUCAGCAUCCCCACAGAUCACUGCAGGCCCCACAGAUCACUGUAAACCCCAUGGAUCAUGGAGGCCCCACAGAUCACAGCAGCCCCAUAGAUCUCAGCAGGCCCCACAGAUCACUGCAGGCCGCACAGAUCACUGCAGGCCCCACAGAUCAUUGUAGACCCCAUGGAUCACAGCAGCCCCAUAGAUCUCAGCAGCCCCAUAGUUCACUGCAGGCCCCGGAGAUCUCAGUAGGCCCCAUGGAUCACUGCAGGCCCCAUAGAUCUCAGCAGCCCCAUAGAUCACUGCAGGCCCCAUAGAUCUCAGCAGCCCCGUAGAUCGCUGCAG
ensembl:lncRNA